UGUUGUUGUUGCAGCCGUGUGCCAUCCAAUACUGGAAACUUAACUAAACUGCAUUGUAUUGUCCAUAUUGUGGAACCCAAUUUGUUGGACGAGGUGGACGUUUUUGUGGCUCCUGUGGCAGCAACAUUACGCUUUUGGCACCUUUUGUAGAAGAUGGACCCAUAUCGGAUGAAGUCACGGAGAGAGGCCUCAUCCACAAACAUUUCUCACCGGGCUGAGGGAAGUUCCUCCUGCAACUAUACAGCCACAGAUACUUUUUCAAAAGACCUCACGCUUUCCUAUGGCGAACGUAUGCUCAAAUACAAUUAAGAUUCCGAUCUUACAAAGCUAUGAAGACUUUCAAGAAGCCAUGGAUUUUGGAAUACAAAAUGCCCCUGGGUUUGUGCUUCCUUAAAGCCCAAACCGUGGUUCACCAAAGUUAAUGAUUAACUAUUAUAUUCAAAUGCUGCAAAUGUGCCACUUAUGUUCUGUCCAGUGAAGCAAUGCAGACAUGUUCAUAUCAGUCUGAGUUUUUAGCUUGCAAUUUGUUAGUUAACCAACUUUCAAGCCAUUUCAUUAAACCAGGGACAUUCAGGUUAAACAUUUUGAGUGUACUGUUACACUGUUCAA